UGGGGAAUAUUGGACAAUGGGGGGAACCCUGAUCCAGCCAUGCCGCGUGUGUGAAGAAGGCCUUAUGGUUGUAAAGCACUUUAAGCGAGGAGGAGGGUACUGGUAUUAAUACUACCAGGUACUGGACGUUACUCGCAGAAUAAGCACCGGCUAACUCUGUGCCAGCAGCCGCGGUAAUACAGAGGGUGCGAGCGUUAAUCGGAUUUACUGGGCGUAAAGCGUGCGUAGGCGGCUAAUUGAGUCGGAUGUGAAAUCCCCGAGCUUAACUUGGGAAUUGCAUUCGAUACUGGUUAGCUAGAGUGUGGGAGAGGAUGGUAGAAUUCCAGGUGUAGCGGUGAAAUGCGUAGAGAUCUGGAGGAAUACCGAUGGCGAAAGCAGCCAUCUGGCCUAACACUGACGCUGAGGUACGAAAGCAUGGGGAGCAAACAGG
rnacentral:rRNA from 1 species